rnacentral:sRNA from 2 species
UCAUCCGGAACGCCGAGUCCUGCCAUCGGAUGAACAGGCAGCACAGCAAUGCACCAUGGCAGGGGCGGGGGAACCACAGGUAAGUCGCCUGGAUUUGGUCUGAUUUGACCGAUUUCAGGCUUGGGGUGAAGCCGUGCUCACGCACGGCCGGGCAACUCCAGCCCGAAUCCGACAGCUCACCUCGCAGGCGUGGGAGAGGAACGCA